CAUGACAGCAGUUCGAAAAAUAAAAUCGCGGCCUGUUUGCAUCAUUGAAAUAAACUUGUUUUUCGUUUAAUUCUAUCUCUAAGCUCCAGAAAAAAAAUCCAACACACGGACGAGGAGUUCAUCAAAUUGACCAUGAAAGUGACCGUCUUUAUUCUUUAUCGCCGAUUACAGGCAACAUUCUCGGGAACAUAUACUGCAGUCGGCUCCGAAAGUCCCCAAAAUUGGUUUCCAUUUCAUCCGAUGAAAUACUCAAGUACUUGAUGUAGAUAAUAAAAAAUAUGAUUGUGC